AGUGAACGCUGGCGGUAGGCCUAACACAUGCAAGUCGAACGGCAGCACAGCAAGAGCUUGCUCUUACGGGUGGCGAGUGGCGGACGGGUGAGGAAUACAUCGGAAUCUACUUUUUCGUGGGGGAUAACGUAGGGAAACUUACGCUAAUACCGCAUACGACCUACGGGUGAAAGCAGGGGAUCUUCGGACCUUGCGCGAUUGAAUGAGCCGAUGUCGGAUUAGCUAGUUGGCGGGGUAAAGGCCCACCAAGGCGACGAUCCGUAGCUGGUCUGAGAGGAUGAUCAGCCACACUGGAACUGAGACACGGUCCAGACUCCUACGGGAGGCAGCAGUGAGGAAUAUUGGACAAUGGGCGCAAGCCUGAUCCAGCCAUACCGCGUGGGUGAAGAAGGCCUUCGGGUUGUAAAGCCCUUUUGUUGGGAAAGAAAAGCAGCAGGUUAAUACCCCGCUGUUCUGACGGUACCCAAAGAAUAAGCACCGGCUAACUUCGUG
rnacentral:rRNA from 1 species